CGGGUGAGUAAUGCUUGGGAAUCUGGCUUAUGGAGGGGGAUAACGACGGGAAACUGUAGCUAAUACCGCGUAGUGUCGAGAGACGAAAGUGCGGGACCGAAAGGCCGCAUGCCAUGAGAUGAGCCCAAGUGGGAUUAGGUAGUUGGUGGGGUAAAGGCCUACCAAGCCUGCGAUCUCUAGCUGGUCUGAGAGGAUGGCCAGCCACACUGGAACUGAGACACGGUCCAG
rnacentral:rRNA from 1 species